rnacentral:rRNA from 1 species
GACGAACGCUGGCGGCGUGCUUAACACAUGCAAGUCGAACGGAAAGGCCCUGCUUUUGUGGGGUGCUCGAGUGGCGAACGGGUAAGUAACACGUGAGUAACCUGCCCUUGACUUUGGGAUAACUUCAGGAAACUGGGGCUAAUACCGGAUAGGAGCUCCUGCUGCAUGGUGGGGGUUGGAAAGUUUCGGCGGUUGGGGAUGGACUCGCGGCUUAUCAGCUUGUUGGUGGGGUAGUGGCUUACCAAGGCUUUGACGGGUAGCCGGCCUGAGAGGGUGACCGGCCACAUUGGGACUGAGAUACGGCCCAGACUCCUACGGGAGGCAGCAGUGGGGAAUAUUGCACAAUGGGCGGAAGCCUGAUGCAGCAACGCCGCGUGCGGGAUGACGGCCUUCGGGUUGUAAACCGCUUUCGCCUGUGACGAAGCGUGAGUGACGGUAAUGGGUAAAGAAGCACCGGCGAACUACGUG